rnacentral:rRNA from 1 species
GUCUAUGGCCAUGCCACCCUGAACAAGCCCGAUCCCGUCUGAUCUCGGAAGCUAAGCAGGGUCGGGUCUGGUUAGUAUUUGGAUGGGAGACCACCUAGGAAGACCGGGUGCUGUAGGCA